CGAUGAUGAUGAUGACGAUGAUGAUGAUGAUGAUGAUGAUAUAUCAUCAUAUAUCAUCAUAAUCAUCAUCAUCAUCAUCGUUUAAC
rnacentral:pre_miRNA from 1 species